UACGUAUGGUGCAAGCGUUAUCCGGAUUUACUGGGCGUAAAGGGAGCGCAGGCGGUGCGCCAAGUCUGAUGUGAAACCCCGGGGCUCAACCCCGGGCAUGCAUUGGGAACUGGCGGGCUGGAGUGCCGGAGAGGUAAGCGGAAUUCCUAGUGUAGCGGUGAAAUGCGUAGAUAUUAGGAGGAACACCAGUGGCGAAGGCGGCUUACUGGACGGCAACUGACGCUGAGGCUCGAAAGCGUGGGGAGCAAACAGG
rnacentral:rRNA from 1 species